CACCACCCUCUGAUGACUGGUUACCCCUCAGAUUCCUACUAAAUCUUUCCCCCUUCACCUUAAACCUAUGUCAUCUGGUUCUAGAAUUCCCUCGCUCUGGGCCAGAGACCCU